rnacentral:rRNA from 1 species
UACGAAGGGGCUAGCGUUGUUCGGAAUUACUGGGCGUAAAGGGCGCGUAGGCGGUACUUCAAGUCAGGCGUGAAAGCCCGGCUCAACCUGGAACUGCAUCUGUGACUGCAUUGCUGGAGUGCGGCAGAGGGGAUGGAAUUCCGCGUGUAAGCAGUGAAAUGCGUAGAUAUGCGGAGGAACACCGAUGGCGAAGGCAAUCCCUGGGCCUGCACUGACGCUCAUGCACGAAAGCGUGGGGAGCAAACAGG